rnacentral:rRNA from 1 species
AUGGCCGGGACAAAGGUGACGAUGGCGAGCGCGGUGGCCGUGGCGCUGCUGCUGGCCAUGGCGGCCGUGUCGGGCGCGGGCGCGGCGCCCGGCCCGCUGAUGAUGUGCAAUGUGGACGUGUACCGCAUGAUCGGCGCGUGCAGGUCGUACUGCGCGAGAGGCAGCCGGGAGGCUACGCCGAGCGGGCAGUGCUGCGCCGCGCUGAGGGGAGCCAACCUCCGGUGCGUGUGCCAGAAGAAGGGCCUGCUCGCGUCCGCGGGCAACAUCGACGCCCGCCGCGCCAUGCAGAUCCCCUCCAAGUGCGGCAUCGGCAACGUGCCCAGCCGGUGCUAG